rnacentral:rRNA from 1 species
GACGAACGCUGGCGGCGUGCUUAACACAUGCAAGUCGAACGGAAAGGCCCUGCUUUUGUGGGGUGCUCGAGUGGCGAACGGGUUAGUAACACGUGAGUAACCUGCCCUUGACUUUGGGAUAACUUCAGGAAACUGGGGCUAAUACCGGAUAGGAGCUCCUGCUGCAUGGUGGGGGUUGGAAAGUUUCGGCGGUUGGGGAUGGACUCGCGGCUUAUCAGCUUGUUGGUGGGGUAGUGGCUUACCAAGGCUUUGACGGGUAGCCGGCCUGAGAGGGUGACCGGCCACAUUGGGACUGAGAUACGGCCCAGACUCCUACGGGAGGCAGCAGUGGGGAAUAUUGCACAAUGGGCGGAAGCCUGAUGCAGCAACGCCGCGUGCGGGAUGACGGCCUUCGGGUUGUAAACCGCUUUCGCCUGUGACGAAGCGUGAGUGACGGUAAUGGGUAAAGAAGCACCGGCUAACUACGUG